rnacentral:sRNA from 1 species
GCCGGGCGGGGUGGCACACACCUGUAAUCCCAGCACCUUGGGAGGCAGAGACAGGAGAAUCGCAAGUUCAAAACCAGCUUCAGCAACUGUGAGGCCCUAAGCAAUUCAGUGAGACCCUGUCUCUA